CAGAAUUUCACUGCCUAGCCCAGGCUAGUCUUGGAACCAGCAACGCUCACGCCACAACCAUGAGUGCUGAGACCACAGGUUAAAGAAAACAAAACUGAGCACGGCAGUGCAUGCCUGUAAUCCCAACAAUGGGAAGACAGGCAGGAAGAUAGCUCAAGGCUAGCCUGUACUACAGAAUGAGACCCUCGUCUCUGAGACUAAAUGGAGGGGGUGAAAGAGGAAACAACAUCAUAUCGUGCUAAGCUAGCAUUAAUGCUUCUUUUUAUUCUCUUACUUUAAUCCCUAAUUUAACCCUGACUUAUGGCAGAAGUCGGAGAGGAAAACAGGAGCACCGACAGGUCCACCAGAUUAGGUAGAAGAUGAUGGGAAUCACAUCUCAAGACACAGGGACAAACGACUUGAAAGAGACCAUGAAUAGUCAGUUCCAGGGAGAACCAAGAAGAGGCUUGCCAGUCUACUUAAAUCCAGCCUGUUUGUGUUGAAACAGUGAAGAUGUCCAACUGAAAACAGAGUCUCAUGGUGAAGACUGUCGCUCUGGAAAAGAGACCCGUAAAGAGAAAAGUGCUAAUGUUGAAUGUGCCGCCAGAUGCUACCUGAGAGUCUGUUUAAAAUGCAGACUGGGGAUCUGGAGAUAUGGUACCAAGGGAGGCUCACAACCUGUAACUCCAGCUCCAAGGGACCAUCAUCCUCUUCAGGCAUCACUGGACACACACACACACACACACACACACACACACACACACACACACACACAUAAAAUUAAAUUAAAAAUUUAAAAAAUAAAAUGCAGGAAUUUUUAAAACAGUGACACAGAA